AUCCGCCUGGGAACUACGAGCAACAGCUUAAAACCCAAAGGACUUGGCGGUGCUUUAGACCCACCUAGAGGAGCCUGUUCUAAAACCGAUACCCCCCGUUCAACCUCACCUUUCCUUGUCUUCCCCGCCUAUAUACCGCCGUCGUCAGCUUACCCUAUGAAGGCCCCUCAGUAAGCACAAUUGGCACAGCCCAAAACGUCAGGUCGAGGUGUAGCGUAUGGAAAGGGAAGAAAUGGGCUACAUUCCCUGUUACAGUGAAUUACGGACAAUAUUUCUGAAACGUUUAUCUAGAAGGAGGAUUUAGCAGUA
rnacentral:rRNA from 1 species